rnacentral:rRNA from 1 species
CCUACGGGAGGCAGCAGUGAGGAAUAUUGGUCAAUGGACGAGAGUCUGAACCAGCCAAGUAGCGUGAAGGAUGACUGCCCUAUGGGUUGUAAACUUCUUUUAUAUGGGAAUAAAAUGUUCCACGUGUGGGAUUUUGUAUGUACCAUAUGAAUAAGGAUCGGCUAACUCCGUGCCAGCAGCCGCGGUAAUACGGAGGAUCCGAGCGUUAUCCGGAUUUAUUGGGUUUAAAGGGAGCGUAGGUGGAUUGUUAAGUAAGUUGUGAAAGUUUGCGGCUCAACCGUAAAAUUGCAGUGGAAACUGGCAGUCUUGAGUACAGUAGAGGUGGGCGGAAUUCGUGGUGUAGCGGUGAAAUGCUUAGAUAUCACGAAGAACUCCGAUUGCGAAGGCAGUUCACUGGACUGCAACUGACACUGAGGCUCGAAAGUGUGGGUAUCAAACAGGAUUAGAUACCCUUGUAGUC